UCAGCACGUGACCCCUGCAGCAGCGACAUGUGACGUCGUCGAGCCUAACUCAUCUGCUGUUGUAGGGUAACUUAUGUACAACAGGAUAUACGUUUCAAAAUACGAUUUGUGACAGUAAUGCUGCUCGGCGCACGUGAUUAUCACAUGACAUCACCUCGUGCCUUUUUACAGACAGUCGUGUUGAGGGAUUGAGCCCGGUAAAGUUGCUAGAUCUUAAUACUGGGAAGUUAUUUUUAUUAUUAUUUUUUUAAUUCUGGCUUGGGUUUCUUUCACACAAAAUCACCGCAAGUUCCAGCAGUUUUUCUGAAUCAAAACCCAGUGUCAAUUGAACUAGAAUCGGAGAACUUCCGCAUUGCACCGGCAAGGACACAUGGCAGCACGGUUUAACCCGGCCAAACGGAUGAUUUUACUGCCGUGCAUCAUUGUCUGUGCAGGAUGUGCUUCUGUACCGCAGACAUGUGUCCAGUGUUCACUGUCUUGCGGUGAAGCAGCAGUGAUGAAGAAACACAAGAGCGUUAUUGUUUCUAUAAUUCAUCCUUUAAUAGAAGAUCCUGAGAAAGUA